rnacentral:rRNA from 1 species
CCACAACGUUGAUAGGUGGGGUGUGUAAGCGUAGCGAUACGUUGAGCUAACCCAUACUAAUUACCCGUGAGGCUUAACCAU